rnacentral:rRNA from 1 species
ACGAGUGGCGAACGGGUGAGUAACACGUGAGCAACCUGCCCUUGACUUCGGAAUACCAGCUGGAAACAGCUGCUAAUACCGGAUACGACCUCCCGCGUCAUCGUGGGUGGUGGAAAGCUCCGGCGGUCAGGGAUGGGCUCGCGGCCUAUCAGCUUGUUGGUGAGGUAACGGCUCACCAAGGCUUCGACGGGUAGCCGGCCUGAGAGGGCGACCGGCCACACUGGGACUGAGAUACGGCCCAG